CCUACGGGGGACUGCAGUGAGGAAUAUUGGUCAAUGGGCGUAAGCCUGAACCAGCCAAGUCGCGUGAGGGAUGAAGGUUCUAUGGAUCGUAAACCUCUUUUAUAAGGGAAUAAAGUGCGGGACGUGUCCCGUUUUGUAUGUACCUUAUGAAUAAGGAUCGGCUAACUCCGUGCCAGCAGCCGCGGUAAUACGGAGGAUCCGAGCGUUAUCCGGAUUUAUUGGGUUUAAAGGGUGCGUAGGCGGCCUUUUAAGUCAGCGGGGAAAGUCUGUGGCUCAACAAUAGAAUUGCCGUUGAAACUGGGAGGCUUGAGUAUGUUUGAGGCAGGCGGAAUGCGGGGUGUAGCGGUGAAAUGCUUAGAUAUCACGCAGAACCCGGAUUGCGAAGGCAGCCUGCCAAGCCAUGACUGACGCUGAUGCACGAAAGCGUGGGGAUCAAACAGGAUUAGAUACCCCGUGUAGUC
rnacentral:rRNA from 1 species